GGAAAACUGGCAAAGGGGCCAGCCCCUGGCCCCUCAACAAAUAAUGGGGCA
rfam:Dipodomys ordii contig_73860, whole genome shotgun sequence.